UGACGGCCGGCAGGAGCCAGCAGAAAGGCCACCAUGAGUGCAGAGACUCUCUGAGCAGCAGCUUUUAUGUCGACUCUCGGAUGCAGUGGCUGAGCAAAGGUGAAGUGGGCAAAGAACCUCUUCCAGGUCCCCGGGAGGCCUGUGGAUCUCUGCAUGUCUAGCAAGUCUCCCCACCACAUGCAGGUUCCUGCCACGCAGAGGGCUCGGCCUGAGACUGGGCCUCAUCCUGGAGCUCUGUCCAAAGCAGGCCUCACUCCUCUGGGCCAUCAACCCCUGAUCUCCAGCGCAGCCUAGCCCAGAAUGGCGACAGAAUACAAGAUUGGAGGGGCCCCCCAAACACCACUUGUGAAGCUCACUUGUGCUGGGGAUCAGCUGUUUCUCUCCAGCCUCACUGCCGACGCCCCGGUGUCCUUCAGCGUCCAUUCUUCCCAGGAGCCGCCCAGGGCCACCCCUCAGACCCCAGUGACUGAGGUGCAGCUCGGGCCUCUCCCGAGCCCAGACUCAAGCGUCCAGCGAUGCCCUAGCCUGAAGUGACUGAAAAGUCUCAUCGGGAAGUCGAUCAAAACGCACCCUAAGCCAAGCCUCUCCCCCGCAGCAAAGUUUCCCAGCAGCUGGGUGCAGGCCGGGCUUCAGAUCACGUCAUUCCUACCUGCCACCUUCACCUGUCUUCCUGUUUCGGAGUCAAAGUAAAGGGAGGUAUCAAAAAAAAAAAAAGUGAGGUACGAACCAAGCAUGGGGAGGGUCAGUGACUGGGACAGUGACCUGGGACGCUUCUGGGCUUGGGUCUUCUCAAUAGCCCUCCUGGCUGUCCAAGAACCGCACCUACGCGUAGUGCGCAUGCGCACCCGGUCCCAAACUAAAGUCUCCUCCCUUUAAGGUCAUCAGACUUUUACAAUUUCAUACUGGGCACGCCUUUAAUCCCAACACUAGGGAGGCAGAGGCAGGCGGAUCUCUGUGAGUUCGAGGCCAGCCUGGUCAAGAGAGUGAGUUCCAGGACAGGCUCCAAAGCUACAGAGGAGAAACCCCGUCUCGAAAAGCGAAGCGAAGAGAGGGGAGAAAAGGCCUGUUUCUAGUACCCAGACUUGGGGGUCCAAGGCCAGCUUGAGCGACACAGAGAGAGCCUCUAUCUCGAAAAGAGAAGCCUCUUUUUAAAAGAAAGAUGCUUUGUUUGAUCUGCUGGGCAUUAUUCAGAAUAUAGGGACUUUGUGGCCUGGCAUGGCAGAGCGUGGUGCUGGUGCUGAUUCCAGACUUACAAGGUAGUGACAGAAAGGUUAAGAGUUCGAGGCCAACCUCAGCUAUACAGCCGAGUUCAGGCCUGCCUGGGCUACAUGAAACCUUAUCUGAUGAAAGUGGGGUUGAGCAGGGGUACAAACCUGAGGGAGGAAUGGGCAAGAGUGGCCAAAAGGCCGGCUAUGAUGUCACAGGACAGCUGGGCGGAAGGUCUCUAGGGGAGGAAGCCACGGGGAAACCUGAGGGGCUCAAAGGUCCUGACCUCCCUCGUCCUCAUCGUCAUAAACCUUGCAUGCCGCCCCCGGCAGACCAGCCCGCGUGUUCCCAGGUGGUCCCUUUCCUUCCUGGUCCUUUGAUUCCCUGCACUGAAAGCUGUCUUGAGUUAAACAGCUACUUUCCACCUGUCUACCUACUUAACCUCUCGAUCCUUCUGCCCUCCCUUCACCCAUACGUCCAACCCUCUGUUUACAAUCGACAGCCCAUGGGAGCCAGCCGGGCACCCACCGGCCUGUGUGAUCCUCUCCCGAGCUGUCUUGUCAAGGGUGCCAUUGCUGUGGUGAGACACCGGGAAAGAACCCGUCCAUCACUCCCUGGUCCAUCACAAUCCAUCAUGGAAAGCAGGGCAGGCUCCUGGAGGCCCAAGCUCAUGCAGAGGCCAUGGAGGGGGGGCUGCUUACUGGCUUACUCCUCAUGGUGUGCUCAGUCUGCUUUCUUAUAGAACCCAGGACCACCAGCUCAAGGAUGGCCCCACCCACCAUGGGCUGCACCAUCCCCCAUCAAUCACUACUUAAGAAGAUGCCCUGCAGUCUUGCUGAUAACCCGAUCUUAUGGAAGUAUUUUCUCAACUGCGGCUCCCUCCUCUCAGAAGACUCCAGCUUGAAACAAGAUAACAUAAACUAGCCGGCACAACCGGCCCUUGCCUCCCUGGCCUCUCACAGUGCCAAGCCUCAGCUGCUCUCCUUCAGGCCUUCAAAACCAGUAGCCCCAAGUUCGUCUACCAGCGUUAGGUAUAACCUCGGCCACCUCUGGAACACAGCUUCUGUGUGCUGGCCUGAGGAAACACUUCCAGAAGAUUUUACCAGAAUCAACAACGCUGGUCUCUUCUUAAAUCACCGCUAAUUUCUCAGCUCCAGCUGACCACCACCGAUUAUCCUGUAACACAAAGGUUUUACUUUAAUGGCUCUGGUGUCUUGCUAAUCACGCCCUAUUCUUUCCCAGCUGACCAGAACCACAUUUUUUUUUUCCAAGACAGGGUUUUUCCAUGUAAUCCUGGCUGUCCUGGAACUCAUUCUGUAGACCAGGGUGACCUCAAACACAAGAGAUCCACCCACCUCUGCCUCCCGGUGCUAGGGUUAAAGUGCGCCACCACACUCGGCUCACAGAUUCUUAUUUAAAAAUAUUCGAAAUAUACAUAAAGUAUGCCUCCAACAUAAGGGACUCUCAGACUUCCCUCUGAACUUGACAAGCCGGGCCUCCAUCGUCUGCAUUUCUCUCAACAUUCCUGUCUCCUCCAAGCUCCUGCAGACCAGCUCACCGGGCUUUGCACGCAUGACUUUCCAAAGCCCUUCCACAGUCUUCCCAAAAACACACGGUCAGGUUUGUCACGGCAGUGCUCCACAAUCCUGGUACCAAUUUCUGUCCAGUGAGGGGAGGGUUCCUGUUAUGAAACACCAUGGCCAUAGCAGCUCGGAGAGGAAAGGGUUUGUCUCAUUCCCACUUCCGUCUCUUCAUCCUUGAAGACAGGUAAAGCGAAAAACUCAAACAGGGCGGGAACUGGAGGCAGAAGCUGACACCGAGGCCAUGGAGGGGUGCUGCUUACGGCCUUGCUCCCAAUGGCUUACUUAUUCUGUCUGCUUUCUUUCUUUUUUUGGGGGGGGGGGAGUGGGCUAUCCUGGAGCUAGCUCUUGUGAACCAGGCUGGCCUCAAACUCAGAGAGAUCCACCUGCCUUUGCCUCCCGAGUGCUGGGAUUAAAGGCCUGCACCUGUUUUCUUAGAGAACCCAGGACCACCAGCCCAGGGGUGAUCCUAACCACAAUGGGCUGGGCCUUCCCACAUCAAUCACUAAUUAAGAAGAUGCCCUACAGGUUUGCCUAUAGCGUGAGGCAUUUUAUCAGCUGAGGCUCUCUUCUCUCAGAUAACUCUACCUCGCAUCAACCGACAUAAAACAGCACACUACAAAUGCACCUGUCUUUCACAACACCCAGGUUGGGUGGACGCAGGAAGGGCGGGCUGAACACCAGGGGGCGUGGCUGACUGCUUGCUCGCCACUAAGAAGCCCGGAUUGACAGAAAAGCCAGUCAGAUCUUUACCUCAGAAAAAUGUCUGCCUGUGUGCAGGACGGAGCAAGGGGACGGGUCUAAAGGCAGGAAGAGCAACUUGGGCGGGCAAGCGACACCGCAGCUGCCCGGAUGAAUAAAGCGUGGGGCGGGGGUUGCUGCCCAGUCCUGCUGGAUACAUUUUCAGAACAUGCUCACGUCUAAGGCUCCGGGAAUAGGAGGGGGGUCAGAGCCGGUAGAUCGGGGAAUUUGCUGUGAGAUUGUGUCUCCUUGGAAUGUCCGAAGCUACACCCAUGACUGUCUAAACAUGAGCUGAAUGAGGACAUCAACAAGAGACAUGCCAAAGUGGACCCGGGAAUGUCCCCGAGGCCUCAACCCUACACAAAGAGCUGCAGGCAGCUAAGGAACCCUGAGAAUGGAGAAACGUCUUCCCCAGGGAAGAGCACACCGCUUGACUAUCCAACACCACACGGUUCGUCCUGAAAACAUACAGCGAUGGAGCAAGCUGUAUUUAGGAAUGUAUAUGUAUACACACAUACAUAUAUGUGUAUGUAACAACAACUAAUGGGGAGAAAGAAGCCAUAAAUUUGAAGGAGAGGAGUCUAUGGGAAGGCUCGCGGGGAGCAAAGGGAAG